UCGAGUCCCUCUAUAGAAGAUUGAGAACGUGUAGCAUUAACCAUCGAGAACAACGUAGAUUUGCAAAUGCACUUUUGCUUUCUUGAUGUAUGUCCCUAAGUCGCCUUCAACUUGCUUUAUUCGAAGCAAGAAGGUGGGCGGGAAAAACAUCCCGGCACGGUUCGUGCCAAGGACGGUUAUUGUUGGGGUGCAUCGCCUUUAUUUUGAUGUGCGAUGUGUUCUUCUACUGGUGUGAGAAUUUGCAUGACUCUUGGCAACGGAUAUCUUGGCUCUUGCGUCGAUGAAGAACGUAGCGAAAUGCGAUACUUGGUGUGAAUUGCAGAAUCCCGUGAACCAUCGAGUCUUUGAACGCAAGUUGCGCCCAAGGCCAUCAGGUCGAGGGCACGUCUGCUUGGGCGUCACGCCUAGCGUCACUUUAAGCACCUAUCCACCGUAAAUCAUCGCGUGGGUAAUAGCUUUUGUCGAUGUGGAUAUUGACCCUUCGUGCUUUUGAAGUGCGGUGGGUUUAAGUGAUGGUCGUCGCUAAGUUUGCGUGCGGCGAAUGGUGGAUUGAGUAAACGCCUGAAGCCUUCAAUUGUGCACGUGACUCCUAGCACGACAUACGAGAAGUAGAACCCAUAAUGAUGUUUGCGCCUUUUGCAAGCUCGGACC
rnacentral:misc_RNA from 1 species